rnacentral:rRNA from 1 species
UGCAGUCGAACGGGAAGCGGCGCUUAUCACUUCGGUGGUGUAGCGCUGUGGAGAGUGGCGAACGGGUGCGUAACACGUAGGUAACCUGCCCUGAAAGGGGGGAUAACCACGGGAAACUGUGGCUAAUACCGCAUAAUUUCGCCGUGACGGUGGUUGCGGUGAGGAAAGUUCAGGCGAUUUGGGAGGGGCCUGCGGUCGAUUAGCUGGUUGGUGGGGUAAAGGCCCACCAAGGCGAUGAUCGAUAGCUGUUCUGAGAGGAAGACCAGCCACACGGGAACUGAGACACGGUUCCGACUCCUACGGGGGGCAGCAGUGAGGAAUAUUGCGCAAUGGGGGGAACCCUGACGCAGCAACGCCGCGUGGAGGACGAAGGUUUUCGGAUUGUAAACUCCUUAACUGGGGGAAGAGAGAGGACGGUACCCCAGGACGAAGACACGGCUAACUAGGUGCCAGCAGCCGCGGUAAUACCUAGGUGUCGAGCGUUAUCCGGAAUUACUGGGCGUAAAGGGUGCGCAGGCGGCGAUACAAGUCUGGCGUGAAAGCUUCUGGCUUAACUGGGAGAGGACGUUAGAAACUGUAUGGCUAGAGUGAAUGAGAGGGGGGCGGAAAUCCCGGUGUAGUGGUGGAAUGCGUAGAUAUCGGGAAGAACACCAGAGGCGAAGGCGGCCUCCUGGCAUUUUACUGACGCUGAGGCACGAAAGCGUGGGUAGCGAACGGGAUUAGAUACCCCGGUAGUCCACGCUGUAAACGAUGUGAACGAGGUGUGGGCGGUGUAGAAGCCGUCUGUGCCGGAGCAAACGCGAUAAGUUCACCGCCUGGGGAGUACGGUCGCAAGGCUAAAACUCAAAGGAAAUUGACGGGGGCCCGCACAAAGCAGCGGAGCGUGUGGUUUUAAUUCGAUGCAACGCGAAGAACCCUUACCUGGGGCUUGACAUGUUACGUAGUAGUGAAGGGGAAACCGGAAA